GACGAACGCUGGCGGCGUGCCUAAUACAUGCAAGUUGAGCGCUGAAGGUUGGUACUUGUACCAACUGGAUGAGCAGCGAACGGGUGAGUAACGCGUGGGGAAUCUGCCUUUGAGCGGGGGACAACAUUUGGAAACGAAUGCUAAUACCGCAUAAAAACUUUAAACACAAGUUUUAAGUUUGAAAGAUGCAAUUGCAUCACUCAAAGAUGAUCCCGCGUUGUAUUAGCUAGUUGGUGAGGUAAAGGCUCACCAAGGCGAUGAUACAUAGCCGACCUGAGAGGGUGAUCGGCCGCAUUGGGACUGAGACACGGCCCAAACGCCUACGGGAGGCAGCAGUAGGGAAUCUUCGGCAAUGGACGAAAGUCUGACCGAGCAACGCCGCGUGAGUGAAGAAGGUUUUCGGAUCGUAAAACUCUGUUGGUAGAGAAGAACGUUGGUGAGAGUGGAAAGCUCAUCAAGUGACGGUAACUACCCAGAAAGGGACGGCUAACUACGUG
rnacentral:rRNA from 1 species